rnacentral:pre_miRNA from 13 species
GUGAGCAAGAUGGAGAAGCAGGGCACGUGCAUUACUAACUCAUGCACACAGAGUGAGAGAGACAUUUCUUGCUGGAGUUAUGACUCUUACCUACUAUAGAUUGUGUUGGCUUCAGCGAGUUAGUUCUUCAUGUGCCUGUCUUCCCCAUCAUGAUCAC